ACCUAACUGAGCUGUGCCACAACUGUGGGGAGAAGAGCAAUGGGCAAAAGAAGACAGUGAGGAAAAAAAUGAACAACCCCUAUCAUCUACUUGGAUUCAGUGUGACGUGUGUGACCGGUGGUUUCAUAUGCAGUGUGUUCAGGAGCCCGAUCCCAUCAAGUCCUACAGCUGUGCGGCGUGCACAUUUUAAAAUUCUCCUUUCUUUCCCUGUUAUUAUUUGCUAUUAAUAUUUUGGUAUUCAAGUUACCAUUAAAACAAAUAAGUUGUAAAAA